AUUCAACCCUUUACCAAAAUCUCUCUCUCUUCACAAACCCUUACCAUCCCAACCUCCUUGACCACGACUCCUUCAGACCUUUCUCGACUUCUCCGACUCGCCGCCCUUCACCAUCGAUCUCUCCUUCGAGUGGAUCCUUGACUCCCGUGACUCCGACGCCGAUCAGAUCAAGCUCAUUGAUUGCGCCCUGCAGUUAGGAUUGGUGCUCCUCGAGGCUGGUAAGAGCUAGGCGAGACGAAGAGCCUCCAAGAACAACUCCAUCUCCUGGGCUCUCCCUCUCAACCACACCAUCAAGAUCUUUUCCAUGCCCCAUACUCAAAGCAUAUGCUAUCCUGCAGCUACUUAUUCAAUGUUUAAUAAAUGAGCCAUGGAUCUUCUUGCCAUGCGAAUAUUGACUUGACAACGGUUGUCCUAAAAGUUAACAAUGGAGUAGUUUCCACAAUGAUACACGGACAGGGAAAGCUCUUGAGUUGUGGCUCAAAAAGUGAAGGAGGCAGAAAUUACCGAGCAAGACUCGCUUCUGGUUCCACUUUCCUCUUCUAGUUGACCUCUCCUCCUCCUCCGGCAACGAUGACCUCAGGAACUGGAAUACCGACUUCGUCAAGGUUGACCAGGCCACCCUUUUUUAUCUCAUCCUAGUUUGUAUUACUACUUUAAUCCUAUUACUGCUAGUUUCUCGUUUAUCGCUGCCGUUGAUACUUUUUAAUUCGCUUAGGGUCUCAUGUAAUUUUAUAAGAAUUUUGUUGUUUGAGCAUGAAAAAUUGAUUAGGAUUGAUUUUCUUUGAUUUUAGGACAUUUGGUUCUCGAUGAAUAGUUGAAUAAAUUUCUUGAUAAUAGUUCAUAUGCAUUGCAUGAUUAGUGAUUUCAAUAUAUAUAUAUACACACCGCUGCAAAUUUUAUAGGAA